UGGCAUCUCAUUCAAUCCUCACAACAACCCCAUGAGUGAGAAGAAUAGUUAUUAACAGAAUGUCUUCAGGAGUUUCUGCAAACUACCUUCAGACUCAUCUCCAGGGAGGAUCCAAGGUCCAGAGACAUCCCUUGCAGAAGUGUGGGACCCAAGAUAAAUUGGUGUCUUAUUCACAUACACUUUUCAAAAAUUCAGCUUUUGCAGACAUCAUCAUGGUCUGGAUGAUAUGUUGGAGCUCACAGGGUCAUAAUCACUUUUGUGCCACUCGACUCCUCUCUACAAAGGUGUCCUUUCUUCUUGCCUCUGCCAUUCUCUGCAGGCUAUUCCCCCUCUUGUUAAAUCUCCUGCAUUACAGAAUCUGCUCACCUACUCAGAAGGUAGGUGAAAUCACUGUCCUAUAAGCUCACACAUAGCUUCUUGGGAAAAUGCAAUAUAGAAA